GAUGAACGCUGGCGGCGUGCCUAAUACAUGCAAGUCGAGCGAAUGGAUUAAGAGCUUGCUCUUAUGAAGUUAGCGGCGGACGGGUGAGUAACACGUAGGUAACCUGCCCAUAAGACUGGGAUAACUCCGGGAAACCGGGGCUAAUACCGGAUAACAUUUUGAACCGCAUGGUUCGAAAUUGAAAGGCGGCUUCGGCUGUCACUUAUGGAUGGACCCGCGUCGCAUUAGCUAGUUGGUGAGGUAACGGCUCACCAAGGCAACGAUGCGUAGCCGACCUGAGAGGGUGAUCAGCCACACUGGGACUGAGACACGGCCCAGACCCCUACGGGAGGCAGCAGUAGGGAAUCUUCCGCAAUGGACGAAAGUCUGACGGAGCAACGCCGCGUGAGUGAUGAAGGCUUUCGGGUCGUAAAACUCUGUUGUUAGGGAAGAACAAGUGCUAGUUGAAUAAGCUGGCACCUUGACGGUACCUAACCAGAAAGCCACGGCUAACUACGUGCCAGCCGCCGCCGUAA
rnacentral:rRNA from 1 species